UACCCCUGGCAAUAAGAAAAGAGACAUCUUGUUGACGGUGUUCUUCUAUCAAUCAGGGGAAGGGCAGAUGGCAGUCCUUUGUUCAUCCUAGCUUGAUACCUGGCUUGGUAGACAAAGCUGUCUUAUGCCUAGAACACAUAA